GAUGAAGAACGUAGUGAAAUGCGAUAAGUAAUGUGAAUUGCAGAAUUCAGUGAAUCAUCGAAUCUUUGAACGCACCUUGCGCUCCUUGGUAUUCCGAGGAGCAUGCCUGUUUGAGUGUCAUGAAAUUCUCAACCUUUUCAGCUUUCUUUGUUGAUCAGGCUUGGAUGUGGGAGUAUGCGGGCUUCUCAGAAGUCGGCUCUCCUGAAAUGCAUUAGCGGGACCUUUGUUGCCUGGCUUUGGUGUGAUAAUUAUCUACGCCAUUGUAGUCAAGGAGCUUAAAAUGAGGUUUCAGCUUCUAACCGUCUCCCCUGAGACAACUUUUUGACAAUUUGACCUCAAAUCAGGUAGGACUACCCGCUGAACUUAAGCAUAUCAAUAAGCGGAGGA
rnacentral:misc_RNA from 1 species